rnacentral:rRNA from 1 species
GAAUGGCUCAUUANAUCAGUUAUGGUUCAUUAGAUUGUACCCACAUUUACUUGGAUAACUGUGGUAAUUCUAGAGCUAAUACAUGCAACACAGAGUCCCGACCAGUGAUGGGAGGGACGCUUUUAUUAGAUCAAAACCAAUCGGUGGCGGGUAGGNUCGCCCAUCCGUCCAUCGUUUAUUUUGGUGACUCUGAAUAACUUUGUGCUGAUCGCACGGUCCUAGCACCGGCGACGCAUCUUUCAAAUGUCUGCCUUAUCAACUGUCGAUGGUAGGUUCUGCGCCUACCAUGGUUGUAACGGGUAACGGGGAAUCAGGGUUCGAUUCCGGAGAGGGAGC